rnacentral:lncRNA from 1 species
GUGGGUUUGGGGUUGGGAUUAGAGGUAGAACUGAGGUGAGGGUUGGUUGGGAUUGUGGUUGAGAUUGGAGUUGGGGAUGGGGUUGAGUUUGGGGUUAGAGUUAGAGUUAGGGAUGGGGUUGGAGUUAAAAUUAGUGUUGGGGUGAGGUUUGGGGUUGCUUUUGGAGCUGGGUUAGAGUUGGGGAUGGGGUUGGGAUCGAGGUUGGGGUUAGCAUUAGGGUUGGGUUAGGGUUGAGGAUGGGGUUGGGUUGACAGCGUUGACAUUGGGGUUUGGGUUAGAGCCUGGGUUGGGGUUGGGUUUGUGGUUGGGGUUAAGAGUUAGGGUUGGGGUGAGGGUUGGGGUUGGGGUUGUGUUGAGGUUGGAGUUGUGUUGGGGUUGGGGUUGGCGUUGGGCCGGGAAGGAGAGCUCUGCUUUCACCCUCUGAUUCUCGAGGAAGGAGCAACACUUGAUUUUGUCAGACGCACUUCGGGCCCCCGGCGCUCACAUUUGGUGCCCUCAGAGCGCAUGCAGAAAACCACAGGAUGGAACGUCUGACACAUAACUGUGCAGUGUGCAGCUCUGUUUGCUUCACUGCUGUUUGGACAGCGAUAACACCACUCCGGCAAUGGUUCCUGGAUGGGUGUAUCCCUGCGCUGCCAAAGGGCAAAAGUCGCUUCGAGUCUCAUUAACUAACGAGCCAGCUCUGAUUAAUGAUUGAUGGAGGGC